AUUGAACGCUGGCGGCAUGCCUAACACAUGCAAGUCGAACGGUAACAGGGGCUUCGGCCCGCUGACGAGUGGCGGACGGGUGAGUAAUACGUAGGAAUCUACCUUUUAGUGGGGGAUAACUUAGGGAAACUUAAGCUAAUACCGCACAAUCACUACGGUGGAAAGCAGGGGAUCGUAAGACCUUGCGCUGAUAGAUGAGCCUACGUCGGAUUAGCUUGUUGGUAGGGUAAAGGCCUACCAAGGCGACGAUCCGUAGCUGGUCUGAGAGGACGACCAGCCACACUGGGACUGAGACACGGCCCAGACUCCUACGGGAGGCAGCAGUGGGGAAUAUUGGACAAUGGGGGCAACCCUGAUCCAGCAAUGCCGCGUGUGUGAAGAAGGCCUGGUUGUAA
rnacentral:rRNA from 1 species